GAUGAACGCUGGCGGCGUGCUUAACACAUGCAAGUCGAACGGAAAGGCUCCUGCUUGCAGGGGUACUCGAGUGGCGAACGGGUGAGUAACACGUGGGUGACCUGCCCUGCACUUCGGGAUAAGCCUGGGAAACUGGGUCUAAUACUGGAUAGGACCACAUUUUGGAUGGUGUGGUGGAAAGUUUUUCGGUGUGGGAUGAGCUCGCGGCCUAUCAGCUUGUUGGUGGGGUAAUGGCCUACCAAGGCGUCGACGGGUAGCCGGCCUGAGAGGGUGUACGGCCACAUUGGGACUGUGAUACGGGCCAGAGUCCUACGGGAGGGAGCAGUGGGGAAUAUUGCACAAUGGGCGCAAGCGUGAGGCAGCGACGCCGCGUGGGGGAUGACGGCCUUCGGGUUGUAAACUCCUUUCGCUAGGGACGAAGCGUUUUUGUGACGGUACCUGGAGAAGAAGCACCGGCUAACUACGUG
rnacentral:rRNA from 1 species